GAUGAAGAACGUAGCGAAAUGCGAUAAGUAAUGUGAAUUGCAGAAUUCAGUGAAUCAUCGAAUCUUUGAACGCACAUUGCGCCCCCUGGUAUUCCGGGGGGCAUGCCUGUUCGAGCAUCAUUUCAACCCUCAAGCCCCCGGGCUUGGUGUUGGGGAUCGGCGUGCCCUCGCGGCGCGCCGUCCCCUAAAUCUAGUGGCGGUCUCGCUGUAGCUUCCUCUGCGUAGUAGCAACACUCGCACUGGAUCGCAGCGCGGCCACGCCGUUAAACCCCCCACUUCUGAAAGUUUGACCUCGGAUCAGGUAGGAAUACCCGCUGAACUUAAGCAUAUCAAUAAGCGGAGGA
rnacentral:misc_RNA from 1 species